rnacentral:snRNA from 1 species
AUACUUACCCGCCAGGGGAGAUUCCAUGAUUGCAAAGAUGGUUUUCCCAGGGCGAGGCUUGCCCAUUGCACUCUGGAUGUCCUGACC